UGGGGAAUAUUGCACAAUGGGCGCAAGCCUGAUGCAGCCAUGCCGCGUGUGUGAAGAAGGCCUUCGGGUUGUAAAGCACUUUCAGCGAGGAGGAAGGUGGUGAGCUUAAUACGCUCAUCAAUUGACGUUACUCGCAGAAGAAGCACCGGCUAACUCCGUGCCAGCAGCCGCGGUAAUACGGAGGGUGCAAGCGUUAAUCGGAAUUACUGGGCGUAAAGCGCACGCAGGCGGUUUGUUAAGUCAGAUGUGAAAUCCCCGGGCUCAACCUGGGAACUGCAUUUGAAACUGGCAAGCUAGAGUCUCGUAGAGGGGGGUAGAAUUCCAGGUGUAGCGGUGAAAUGCGUAGAGAUCUGGAGGAAUACCGGUGGCGAAGGCGGCCCCCUGGACGAAGACUGACGCUCAGGUGCGAAAGCGUGGGGCAGCAAACAGGAUUAGAUACCCUGGUAGUCCACGCUGUAAACGAUGUCGAUUUUGGAGGUUGUGCCCUUGAGGCGUGGCUUCCGGAGCUAACGCGUUAAAGUCGACCGCCUGGGGGAGUACGGCCGCAAGG
rnacentral:rRNA from 1 species